GGUGCAGCCUGAAGAGGUGGGUCUUCAGUCGUCGUUUGUAGUUCCCCUGUAGUUCAUAUUGCUAAUGCGUGAGCUAACCACGGAUAGCUUACCUAGCUCACUGGCAAGCUGAUAUGCUAGCUAAGCAUAUUCGUUUUGCCGAGAAACAUAAAUUGAAGAUAACUGAACAUAAUUGUAUUAUUAAUGUCAUACAUAUACCGUGAUUACAUGACACAGUACAGUCACGGAUGGAAAUUAAACUCCGUAAACAUUUGAUCAUAUAUUUUAAAACAUAACGGCAGACAGUCAGCUAGCCUCAAGUUCGUUCUGCAAUCGUUCGUUCAGGUUGAUGGGCUUUUCCGCACCGGACUGUCAAUCACAUUGUAAAAAUCACAAGACCGCUUAACUCUAUGGUUUUGGCUCCAAAUCGAGAACAUGGCCGCGCCCGCCAUUGAGCUUCAAAACGUGUUUUACAGACCCACGGAGAGGCAAUGGGUGACGUCACAGUAGCGUUGUCCAUAUUGUUUACAGUCUCUGGGCGGAACACACACAAGCAGAACAAAAGCAGGCAGAUACAUACAUUAACAGAAAUGAAACGCAAGGAACCAGCACCCGAGUCAGGAAACAAAGAACUUAAAUAGACAAGGGUAACAAGACACAGGUGAAUUCAAAGAACAAUCAAACCAGAAAAGGAGGGGAUAACAAGACACAGGUGGGUGAGAUAUGUCCAUAGACCUGACACUGCUAGUCAGUGGGAAAUAAAAGAGCGUUUUAUUGAUUUUAAGGAUUUUUCAAAGAAAACGGGGGAAGAACUUGCUAGAAUGCUACUCGAUUCCUUUGAGACCAUGGGAUUGACAUUAAAGACUGUAGGGGACAAAGCUCCAUAUUCACAUGUAGCAGCUUUCUCCCUGAGUCGAGUCACAAAACAGUCAAUUGUCUCACCUCCCUCCUGUUUGCAACAGCCAGAAACGUAGCGCUCAUAAAUCACAUUUUUAGCUGGUUUAAAGUACCAUUCCAAUGAGUUUAGUAUGACGGUCACGUCCGCUUGCUCCUCAUUGCUCAGAUUCAAGUUGUGUUUGUAGACACGUCGACAUUCCGCUCCCAUAACACUCCUCGGAGUCGCCGCCUGGACCUCCUCGGGUUUGCCCACUAGCCCUGUCGCUAAAGCAUGGUCUUCAUAUUCUGCCCGGAAGAUUUCCCAAUUUGCACUCAGAUUGCCACUGAGCUCAAUCAGAGCUGGAGGGGGUAUGGUCGCGGCCAUGCCGAUGCACUGCUGCUGCUACAGUAUAGCUAGCUUUAGCAAACAAAGAACUUGCAAAACUCACUUGAGAGCUCUAAAUCUACGUAGAUGCUAAAUCGCCGAAUCACAGGUCCACUUCUGACACCAUGUUUGAGUUCGUAGUGUUAUGAAGACGAGACCGAACACCACGUUAGUUGAUGAGCUUUGGCGGAGGCAACGGGGGCAGGAGGGCAAAUAACAAGCACACCCCACAGCAGGCUGGGAGACUAUGUAGCUUUACUGUAAUACCAUCCAUAACAGUCUGUUUUAUUUCGUUUUAACAUAGCCUACUUUGUUUAGCACUGUAAAAACAAACAUUUUACUUAUUUGAUUUAAUCCAAAACGUUUUGAAAAUUUAAAUCUUUGUUCUGUUUAAAGAAAUAAGUGUUGACAGGGGUGCAGAUGGGGGGGGGGGGGGGGAUUACAUGGGCUGGGCGGUUAUAGGGACCCCUAUCCAUCCCUCCAGAUCGGGGUAGUUGUAUAAACUUAAAAGUUGAGUUGAGACCUUUCUUUUGCUCACAGUUUGGUCCCUCCCGCUUCAAAAAUCUCUCCCGCGCCCGUGAGUGUUAAUAAAGGGUUCAUUCUAUUCUACUUAUGCUGUCUUUUUGAAAACAAAAAACCGUCGGUUUGACCAAAAUAUUAAUUUGAUUUAAUUUGACUGUCGCUAAUUGAAAGCACGUUUUCAUCUCUUUUAACGGGCAAUGUCGAUCAGUUUUAUUUUGUUUCAUUUAUUAACACUGUCACUACUUAAAUAUGCUAUGGGCCUAUUGUUUCAUUUCCUAUUUAAAGUUACAAUCUCGAAGAUUUCAGUUUCGUUCUCUUUGGCGGUACCAAUGGCGAGAGGCGGUAAUUGCAGGUGUGUUUUUGGACCUCACUUCCAAACAGUGUCGCCUAUGUGACGUCAGUCAGUUGGCACCUGGGCCACUGUAACUAUAACACUUACUAGAAAAGCAGAGGGCGGUCUAGAAAUCCUUGAUUUUAAUGACAUUAUUAAUACAUACAAAGUAAACUGGUUUAAAAAAUGCUUCAUUACUCCUGAUUCAAUUAGGUAUUUUAUACCGAGCCACAUUUUUAACAAAAUUGGAGGCCUUCAUUUUCUAUUAUUAUGUAACUACUCACCGACUAGAUUACCCAGAAAACUAUCAAAAUUCCACCAGCAGGCACUUUUGGCUUGGAAAAUCUGUUAUGUCCACAAUUUUUCACCCCACAAGACCUUAUUAUGGAAUAACACAGACAUAUGUGUUAGAAAUAAAUCAUUAUUUUUUCCCAAAUGGUAUCAAAGAAACAUUAUUCAUAUUUUUGACGUUUUUGAUAAGAAUGGUGAUUUGCUGUUAUAUGAGCAGUUAAUGACUGUACACAGUUUCCCUGUCUCUUUCAAAGAGUUUAACCCGUUAAUUAAAGCCAUCCCAAAUGGAUUGAUCCAACUUGUUAAGAGCCAUUUGAGUUUUGGAGAAAAUAAAAUUAUACAUCCUAGACUGGUUUUAGACAGAAUCGAUUUAUUAGAUAAGAAAUGUACAAAUACGCAUAUACGUGAUAUAUUCCAAGGAAAAAUCAAAAUUACUCCCAGGGGAAAGUUUUACUGGAGGUCACAAAUUAUGGACAUAAACUGGAAAGUGGCAUGGUUGACACCAUUCAAAUAUUGCAUUGCAAACAAAGUUAGAGAAGUUCAUUUUAAAGUCUUGCACAAGAUUUACCCUGUGAACUCUGUUAUUUCAAAACAUGUAGACAGAGAAUGUCUGUUUUUUGUGAGCAGAACAAAGAAACUCUCCCCCAUUUGUUUUUUGACUGUAAAAGUGAAUGAUUUCUGGAAAGAGCUGGCUUCCAACAUCUUUGAGCUAACUAAUACAAAAUAUAGGUUUGUCCUUAAAGACAUUAUUUUAUAUUAUGAUAACAAGAGAGAUAAGAAUCUGGAAUACAAUGUAAAUUUUUUAUCCUUUUAGCAAAGUUUUAUAUACAUAAACAGAAAUUUUCAAACUCCACUCCCAAAUUACAACCUUUUCUUUUGAAAGUUGAUUCUCUCUUAAAAUCUUUGAAAUUAAUAGAAAACAAAAAAAGUGAUAUGUAACUAACCCGCUAUGAAGAACUGUUUGAAAAAGAAAAGCCCUAAUUUUAGGCUAUUUAUACGCUAUAUCUCUCUCUAUCUCUCUCUCUUUCACUUUCCCUUCAUUGCAAAUUGUACCACGAUAUUUGUAUUUUCAUAUUUUUGUGUAUGCAUUCUGAAGAUGUUAUAUUGCUGUCACUGAUGGACUUCAUAUUUCAUAAUAAAAAAGUAACUAUAACACUUACUAUUUACUGAAUAAAAAAUGGUUGUUAUAAAAGUAACAUUAUGUACAUAUUCAUUCAUUGCUGAAGGAACAUAUGAGGAAGCGUAAUAAAAGAACAACAACGAUAAUCCAUACUGCCGUAUUCUUUUAUUUAGUUUUCUCCGGUUUGACAUCUUUACACAGAAAUCAGACCCGGCUCUGCUCCACCUAUACCCCGGGGUUAAUGCUCUGUGUAAAGACGGCUUUAUUCCGAUCAUUAUAAUAUAUUGAUGAACUUGAUGGCAAUGUAAAUAAUAGUAACGUUAAGGCCAGUUCAGAUCAAUGAUUCGCAACGAGACAAAACGGUUUUAGAAUGUUGCAGAGAAAAUUGCAGCGUUGUGAACUGGUUAGUUGCAGAGCAUCUGAAGCCGUUGCCUGGGGUCUCAAAAGGCCCACUUUGUCAAUCGCCAAGUGCAGUUUUAGAAUGUUUACAAUCAGACGUCUUGGAAUUUUUUUUUUCGGCGAUAGACGGUGACUCAACAGACAUUUAUUUUAAUGAAAAUCUUCGAGAUUAUUACUUUCAUAUCUAAAAAUGUUUAGGCAAUUUGUUUAAACGAAUGUUUAGCACUGUAAAAAAUAUUUUAUUUGUUUCAAAAAGUUUGGAAGUGUUAAAUAUUUGUUGUUUAUAGAAAUGUGUUAAUAAAGUUAUGUUGUUAAUUAUA